GACGAACCGUGCGAACGUUAUUCGGAAUCACUGGGCUUAAGGGGCGCGUAGGCGGGCUCGCAGGUCAGGGGUGAAAGCCCACGGCUCAACCGUGGAAGUGCCUUUGAUACCGUGAGUCUCGAGGGAGGUAGGGGCGUGCGGAACUUCCGGUGGAGCGGUGAAAUGCGUAGAUAUCGGAAGGAACAUCGGUGGCGAAAGCGGCGCGCUGGACCUCUUCUGACGCUGAGGCGCGAAAGCCAGGGGAGCAAACGGG
rnacentral:rRNA from 1 species